rnacentral:rRNA from 1 species
GUUAACGUCGUGGCGGCGGACGCGGUACUACGAAGGGGGCUAGCGGUGCGCGGAAGCACUGGGCGGAAAGCGCACGUAGGCGGCUUUUUAAGUCAGGGGUGAAAUCCUGGAGCUCAACUCCAGAACUGCCUUUGAUACUGAGAAGCUUGAGUCCGGGAGAGGUGAGUGGAACUGCGAGUGUAGAGGUGAAAUUCGUAGAUAUUCGCAAGAACACCAGUGGCGAAGGCGGCUCACUGGCCCGGUACUGACGCUGAGGUGCGAAAGCGUGGGGAGCAAACAGGAUUAGAUACCCCGGUAGUC